rnacentral:misc_RNA from 1 species
UCUCCGUAGGUGAACCUGCGGAGGGAUCAUUACAGAGCUCAUGCCCUAACGGGUAGAACUCCCACCCUAUGUUAUUAUAACUUCGUUGCUUUGGCGGGCCGCCUUUUACUAGGCUACCGGCUUCGGCUGGUGAGCGCCUGCCAGAGAACCCCAAACUCUGAAUAUUUUUGUCGUCUGAGUACUAUAUAAUAGUUAAAACUUUCAACAACGGAUCUCUUGGUUCUG